UCAUUAUAAUUUUCAAGGCUUAAAAAAAUUAACUGCUAAUCAGCUGGUGGACUUUUUUCAUGAGAAUAAAACGGAGAUCUCACUGAUCGAUAAUCCUCGCAUACUGCUAAACCGGUUAAGAGUCAAAGACUUAAUCCCAGCAGACAAAUUUCAGGAUAUAAUUGAUAUAAGAGAUGCAACAGAGAAAAGUAGAGCUUUUUAUGAGUACUUAGAGUGGUUUGAAAAUAAAAAAAUAAAGAAGAUCCGUCCCUUCUUGGAAGCGAUAUUCAAAGAUUUCAUCAUUCGGCGUUACCCAACAUUAAGACAACUUAAGGACAAACUUUUGAAAGAUAACAGCGCAGUUGCAGAAACUGGAUUAA